rnacentral:rRNA from 1 species
GGGUUGUAACUUCUUUUAUAUUAGAAUAAAGUGCAGUAUGUAUACUGUUUUGUAUGUAUAAUAUGAAUAAGGAUCGGCUAACUCCGUGCCAGCAGCCGCGGUAAUACGGAGGAUCCGAGCGUUAUCCGGAUUUAUUGGGUUUAAAGGGAGCGUAGGUGGGCUGGUAAGUCAGUUGUGAAAGUUUGCGGCUCAACCGUAAAAUUGCAGUUGAUACUGUCAGUCUUGAGUACAGUAGAGGUGGGCGGAAUUCGUGGUGUAGCGGUGAAAUGCUUAGAUAUCACGAAGAACUCCGAUUGCGAAGGCAGCUCACUGGACUGCAACUGACACUGAUGCUCGAAAGUGUGGGUAUCAAACAGGAUUAGAUACCCUGGUAGUCCACACAGUAAA